AGAGUAAGGGUGCUCAGCGCCCGACCUCCAACCCUCUGUUGUUAAAACUACCUUGUUGCUUUGGCGGGACCGCCCGGUCUCCGAGCCGCCGGGGCCUUCACCGGCCCAGGCGAGCGCCCGCCAGAGUUAAACCAAACUCUUGUUAUAAACCGGUCGUCUGAGUAAAAGUUUUUAAUAAAUCAAAACUUUCAACAACGGAUCUCUUGGUUCUCGCAUCGAUGAAGAACGCAGCGAAAUGCGAUAAGUAAUGUGAAUUGCAGAAUUCAGUGAAUCAUCGAAUCUUUGAACGCACAUUGCGCCCCUUGGUAUUCCGAGGGGCAUGCCUGUUCGAGCGUCAUUACACCACUCAAGCACUGCUUGGUAUUGGGCGUCCGUCUCCCGCGAGGGGGGCGCGCCUCAAAGACCUCGGCGGAGCCUCACCGGCUUUAGGCGUAGUAGAAUUUAUUCGAACGUCUUUCAACGGAGAGGACUCCUCAGCCGACCGAAGCCUUUUAUUAUUCUAGGUUGACCUCGGAUCAGGUAGGGAUACCCGCUGAACUUAAGCAUAUCAAUAAGCGGAGGAAAAGAAACCAACAGGGAUUGCCCUAGUAACGGCGAGUGAAGCGGCAACAGCUCAAAUUUGAAAGCUAGCCUUCGGGUUCGCAUUGUAAUUUGUAGAGGAUGCUUUGGGGCAGCCGCCUGUCUAAGUUCCUUGGAACAGGACGUCAUAGAGGGUGAGAAUCCCGUAUGUGACAGGACAUGGCACCCUAUGUAAAGCUCCUUCGACGAGUCGAGUUGUUUGGGAAUGCAGCUCUAAAUGGGAGGUAAAUUUCUUCUAAAGCUAAAUACCGGCGAGAGACCGAUAGCGCACAAGUAGAGUGAUCGAAAGAUGAAAAGCACUUUGGAAAGAGAGUUAAAAAGCACGUGAAAUUGUUGAAAGGGAAGGGCAAGCAAUCAGACUUGUUCAAGCCGUUCGGCCGGUCUUCUGACCGGUUUACUCGGCUUGGGCAGGCCAGCAUCAGUUUCGGCGGUCGGAUAAAGGCCUAGGGAAUGUGGCCCUCACUUCGGUGGGGGUGUUAUAGCCCUGGGUGUAAUACGGCCAGCUGGGACUGAGGU
rnacentral:rRNA from 1 species